AUCUCUUGUGUCACCGUAGGUUGGUCUCCUUCCUUCUUUUGUUUCUUUAGUCCGAUCAUCCUUCUUUCUGCAUCCAUUUUCUUUUCUGUUCUUUUCUUUGCAUCUCCUAAUGGCAGGUUUCGAGAGUCUUAAUAAGAACUGAUCUUUCGGAUUAUCUUCCUCUUCGAAGAAAGCUCCCAUCGGUGUGGGUGAAGGGCACGGUGUUGUAUCCCUCUUCGUUCCUGACACAAUUGGAUCCAAAGUGGGCACGGAGGACCUGAGUGUUAUCUGUGUCCCAA
rnacentral:lncRNA from 1 species